UACGAAGGGGGGCUAGCGUUGCUCGGAAUCACUGGGCGUAAAGCGCACGUAGGCGGAUCUUUAAGUCAGGGGUGAAAUCCUGGAGCUCAACUCCAGAACUGCCUUUGAUACUGAGGAUCUUGAGUCCGGGAGAGGUGAGUGGAACUCCGAGUGUAGAGGUGAAAUUCGUAGAUAUUCGGAAGAACACCAGUGGCGAAGGCGGCUCACUGGCCCGGUACUGACGCUGAGGUGCGAAAGCGUGGGGAGCAAACAGG
rnacentral:rRNA from 1 species